UUUUGUGGCAUUUUUAUGAGAGGAACCGUCACUUCAAACCCCUAGGUUUCUUAUUUUAUUUUCACUCCAAACCCCAAGGUCGAAAUCCUUUAUCUUUUCUUUGUUUAUCCCUCGUUUAUACUCAAUUGUUUCAAAGUUUAUUCCCGAAGGAAUUCCACUUAUCUAUCUUCUCUUUUGAUGAAAACUUCCUCCACUUAUCUAACCAGGUACUUUUAUUUAUUUAUUUAUUUACUUAUUUAUUUAUUUAUUUUUCUUUAAAGGUGGAUUACUGUGUAAUAAGUGUGGUUUUUUUUUGGAUUUUUCUUGGAUUUUUCGGCUAUUUUUUGUUGAUUUUAAACAGUUUUUUUAACAUUUUUAUGUCGGGUCGGUUCGACUAAAUGGGACAAUGUGCCAUCAUUUGAAAAGUCGAUCUCUUCACCUCCAAGCUUCCAUUCACCUCCUCCAAUGCUUCCCUACUUUCUCAGUACACUACUACCUCCAUCACCUCUCUCUACCCAACAACCCAAUAUACCGACGUUUGCUCAUUUCGCCGGCCUCUAUUAUUGGAUUAACAAGCACUUUGAAGGAUAUUGUCUGAUUCACUUUUCAUUCAGCCAGGAAAAAAAAUUAUAAUCUGAAACAUCUCUGUUAUAACGAUUCCCCCUUUGCAUAUUCAUCAUCAACAAAGAUCCCCUGGGUUUGUUUUCUGAUAUCCUUUUUGUGUUUUCUUUCUCUAAAAAAAUAUUGUUAAUGGUUCCAAAAGUUAGAUUUUAAUUUUAUUGCAUUUCAUAAAACAAAUGAUAUCUUUCAUCAUAUAUUUUAAUUGUCAUCGUACAAUGAGUGAGAUGGCAAACGGGCAACAACAUGUGCCCGCUAAGCCUUUUUGAAUGGUAAAACUAAUUCUUUUAAAAACUACAUUCUAAGAUCUAGGGAUAUACUUGUUGAUUGAAUUUUUGUGUUGUUGCGUCUUCUUACCUCAACUAGCUCUUCAGUUUUAGCUUUUUUCCAGCUUUUAAAAUUAUUAUGGGGGAUCGUUCUUGGGCAGAAAACGAUGCCCUCUAGGUUCAAGUGAUAGAUAUGGACAUAAGAAGCAUAAAGCCAUAAUUAUGCUCAACUAAGAAAAAGGAGUAAUGAAUGAUAAAAACUGAAAAUAAAAAUCUUGUCUUAGGAGAUGUAUACCAAUGGAAACAGUAUAGAAGAGAAGUCAUUAUAACAUGGAGGGAAAAGAGAGGUAAAUGUGCUAUGAUAUGUUCUGAUUUUGUUGACAAGAGGCAGUACAGGAGAGAAGCUAUUAUAAGAUGGAAGUUAAAGAGAAAGAAUUAUACAAGUGCAUCGAAGUUUGCCAUUUUUAUUUCGGGUGAGACCUCAAAAGUAUUUUCUGAUGUUUUAAUUGACAAGAAGCAAUACAGGGACGUUGAAAGGGGAAAUGGAAGGAAUGUUGUUUCCACAGUAGAAAAGCUUAUCUCACCUGUAACUACUACCAGUGUUGAACACCUUUUGGAUAUGGAAGAAAAUGUUUUGGCCAAUAAUUCUGAAAGUGCAAAGUACGUUUCGGUUAGGGAAUAUUAUGCUUACAAACUUCAAAUAUGUAGGCAUGAUAAAUCCCACUUGCUGCAUUUUGGUCGGCUGUUACAGCAAUACAUAGUUGAUAGCUAUGUUGAAUUAGAGACGCAAAGAUUAGCUUUUUAUAGGACAUAACAAGCUGAUAUACGACAAGAGUUUUCACAAGGAAUUGUCGACGCUAUGGCAAGUGGUGAAGUUUAUUUCUUGCUGGUCCGGCAGGAGAAAUGGUCUGAGGCAGCUCAAUAACUUCAGCAGACAAUCUGAGGGUAUCCUAUAUCUACAAAUUUAUGACAAUACAAGUGUAAACCAAUUACUGAUUCUUGAUUCAGAUGGACAUAUAAUUACUGAUUCUAAGUCAAGCCUAUAUCUAAUAUUUUGCUGGGUAUAUGAGUGAAAACAAUCCUCAUAGUAGUCGAUUUCAUGCAAAGACAUUGGAGGCUUUAAUGUGUGCUCAUAGUUUGUUUCUGAAUGAAAUUCCAGGGAUGAUAUUUGGAUGAUUCUGAGAGUUUUAAUGUUUAUAUGUAGUAUACUAUCAUGGCGAAUUUAGUUUUUCAUAUUUUAUACAUUUGCUGCCUUGGUUGUUUUUGUGAUGAUAUUAGACUAUUAUUAAUUUCUAUUUGGUUCAAUGAUGUUAGGAAAUUAUUUGGUAUUGUUAGUUUAUGUAAUGUUUUAAUUUCUCA